CAAAUUCAUUUUUUGACAUGUUAUCUUCUUUGAUCGCCAUACUCCUCAUUUUAUAGUUGUGUUGCUUCUUUGGGUAGUGUUGAGCAGUGUACUUAGGUUCUCCAUAAUAUAAGCACAAUCCUUCCUGACCACGACGAGUCUUUUCUUGCUCAGUUAGAGGUUUGAAACAUAUCGCAUCAAUUUGCAUAUCCUCUACUUCCAAAUGUAUGUGUUGAAGAGAUGUUGGCGUUU
rnacentral:lncRNA from 1 species